UUUAAUUAAACAAGCAUAACCUAAUUUCCGUUGGUGGUAGAAUAUGCAAUAAUACCUCGUCUAUAAAUAUUAUGCCCAUCCACAAACAAGAAUUGAUCAAAGCAGGAGCUACCCAACUGAGCCCUGAGCUACCUUCAAUUACCAGAGACAAGCCACCAUUAACUGCUUCAUCAAUGUCUACAACCCAACCAUCAUCAACCUAAUAGCAACCACUCAUCCAGAUCCCUUCAUCAUUCGCCGCCACAAAAUCUACGCUUUCAUUCUUUUCGCACUCCUAGCAUUGCUUCAAAUCCAGAGCACAGGAAGCACACCAUCACCGUUCCAUGAUCACCCUGUCGCAACCCAAGCUUGUUUUCUUGCCAUUUUUUGUUACUUCCUAGCCUUCAUGGCCUCGCUGCGUUUGCCUCAGUAUUCUUCUCAGUUAAGCACAGCCAUGGCGGCUUUCGGUUCGUUCUCCUCGGCUACCUUGGUACAUUCUGAGAUCUGUCUUGAGAAUGAGGAGAUCGUGGCAGCAAAAUUCCCAAAGGCAACAACAACUCCUGCCACAGAGAUACAUGGAUCUGAUGAGUAGAGAGCACCGUAAUAAUAAUGUGUACUUGAUGGAAGCACCAAUGGAAGUUGCUGUUGUAGAUUCGUAUGUUGUUCCAUUUUGAGGGUAAUUCUCUUAGCGGGAUCUUCUUUUAUUUAGAGAGGGCUGGAAGAAAAUAAGUUUUCUUUCUGUUCAUGGGAGUUGCUGUACCAAUGUUAUUCAGUAAUGAGUUAAUUUCAGUAUAUAUAACUUUCAGCCUUCAGUCUUCUUCUCUCUCACCUCGAAGCUCGGGAUCAAGGAUUUAUACAUCAUCAUUCAUUCAUCAGUGCUGCAAUUUUCUUUGAUUCGCGCGCGGUAAGAGAAAUCUUUCGUCGUCGUUCCUCGCCAUGUUGACUGAUC